rnacentral:rRNA from 1 species
GAUGAACGCUGGCGGCGCGCCUAACACAUGCAAGUCGAACGAUUAAAGCACCUUCGGGUGUGUAUAAAGUGGCGGACGGCUGAGUAACACGUGGGCAACCUGCCCCUCUCAUUGGGAUAGCCACGGGAAACCGUGGAUAAUACCGAAUACUUCGGGACUUCCGCAUGGAAGACUCGAGAAAGCUCCGGCGGAGAGGGAUGGGCCCGCGGCCUGUUAGCUUGUUGGUGGGGUAAUGGCCUACCAAGGCAAUGAUGGGUAGCUGGGUUGAGAGACCGACCAGCCAGAUUGGGACUGAGACACGGCCCAGACUCCUACGGGAGGCAGCAGUGGGGAAUCUUGCACAAUGGGCGAAAGCCUGAUGCAGCGACGCCGCGUGCGGGAUGAAGGCCUUCGGGUUGUAAACCGCUUUCAGCAGGGACGAGGCGAAAGUGACGGUACCUGCAGAAGAAGCCCCGGCUAACUACGUG